rnacentral:rRNA from 1 species
CGCGGCCUAUCAGCUUGUUGGUGGGGUAAUGGCCUACCAAGGCUUCGACGGGUAGCCGGCCUGAGAGGGUGACCGGCCACACUGGGACUGAGACACGGCCCAGACUCCUACGGGAGGCAGCAGUGGGGAAUAUUGGACAAUGGGCGAAAGCCUGAUCCAGCAACGCCGCGUGAGGGAUGACGGCCUUCGGGUUGUAAACCUCUUUCAGCGCCGACGAAGCGAAAGUGACGGUAGGCGCAGAAGAAGCACCGGCCAACUACGUGCCAGCAGCCGCGGUAAUACGUAGGGUGCGAGCGUUGUCCGGAAUUAUUGGGCGUAAAGGGCUCGUAGGCGGUCUGUCGCGUCGGGAGUGAAAACUCAGGGCUUAACCCUGAGCCUGCUUCCGAUACGGGCAGACUAGAGGUAUGCAGGGGAGAACGGAAUUCCUGGUGUAGCGGUGAAAUGCGCAGAUAUCAGGAGGAACACCAGUGGCGAAGGCGGUUCUCUGGGCAUUACCUGACGCUGAGGAGCGAAAGUGUGGGGAGCGAACAGGAUUAGAUACCCUGGUAGUCCACACCGUAAACGUUGGGCGCUAGGUGUGGGACUCAUUCCACGAGUUCCGUGCCGCAGCUAACGCAUUAAGCGCCCCGCCUGGGGAGUACGG